rnacentral:rRNA from 1 species
AGAGUUUGAUCCUGGCUCAGGACGAACGCUGGCGGCGUGCCUAACACAUGCAAGUCGAGCGAGAGACUUCGGUCUCUAGCGGCGGACGGGUGAGUAACACGUGGGUAACCUGCCUCAAACAGGGGGAUAGCCUCCCGAAAGGGAGAUUAAUACCGCAUAACAUCGCGCUAUCGCAUGAUAGUGUGAUCAAAGGAGUAAUC